GUGUCAGCCGCCGCGGUAAUACGAAGGGUCCAAGCGUUGUUCGGAAUCAUUGGGCGUAAAGCGCGCGCAGGCGGAUCAGCAAGUCAGAUGUGAAAUCUCGAAGCUCAACUUCGAAACUGCGUCUGAAACUGCUAGUCUAGAGUGUCGGAGGGGGUAGGGGAAUUUCACGUGUAGGGGUAAAAUCCGUAGAGAUGUGAAGGAACACCGGGGGCGAAGGCGCCUACCUGGACGACUACUGACGCUGAGGCGCGAAAGCGUGGGGAGCAAACAGGAUUAGAAACCCCAGUAGUCC
rnacentral:rRNA from 1 species